AAAAAGGAGAAAGGGCUGCAAUUGAUAUAGAAUACACACACACACACACACACGGACAGAAGACGGAAGGAGGCAGAUGGUGGGAAUUAAUUGUGGCUACAAGAGUUGAUUUUCAUAGACACAAUUCCCACAUAAAGUAGCAGCUUGGAGGGUAAGAAUUGGAGUCCAUUUUCGGUAGUCAAACAUAGCCAGCUGCUGGGAGGAAUUUGGGAGCUGCAAUUCAUAUAUUUAUAUACACCAACAGAAAAACGACACGUGAAAAGGGGCUGACACUGGGCUAAAUUGCAUCAUAU
rnacentral:lncRNA from 1 species